GGGUACUCGAACUUAGGUACGCUAGCAGAUUAGAUGCAUCAAAUGGACGUACUUACUGCCAUGGCCCACUUAUGCCCGUUGGAUCCAUAUUUGAUACUGAACUGUAAGUAGAACUAGUAGUUUCUUUAAGUAAAUAAAAAAGAACUAGUAGUUUUGGAAAAGGUAGGGCUGGGUUUCAAAAUUUAGUAGGAUCAUAACAAACUUGCUGUUAUGGCCCCGAC
rnacentral:lncRNA from 1 species